ensembl:snoRNA SNORA70 Small nucleolar RNA SNORA70
AUGCAGUCAGUUAAGCGAACUGACUUCCUCUUCCUAUGGAGUCCCAGUCUGCAGUGGCUGCAGACAGCAGCUUCCUUGGUGGUGUACAUUAUCUGUGGUUUAUACAGGUUGCCUUAAGGGACCACGGGGACAGCA